ensembl:snoRNA
AAGACUAUACUUUCAGGGAUUAUUUCUGUAGUUCGUUACUAGAGAAGUUUCUCUGAACGUGUAGAGCACCCGAAACCACGAGGAGGAGGCGCAGCGUUCUCUUCUGAGCGUGAAGCCGGCUCUUGGUGUUGCUUUCAGCAACUGCCACUUGCCGUUGAUGAUCGUUCUACUUCUUUUUCUGGGGAAGUAAAAGGGAGAGAACGCCGUCUGAGUGGUG